UACGUAGGUGGCAAGCGUUGUCCGGAAUUAUUGGGCGUAAAGCGCGCGCAGGCGGUCUCUUAAGUCUGAUGUGAAAGCCCACGGCUCAACCGUGGAGGGUCAUUGGAAACUGGGAGACUUGAGUGCAGAAGAGAAGAGUGGAAUUCCAUGUGUAGCGGUGAAAUGCGUAGAGAUAUGGAGGAACACCAGUGGCGAAGGCGACUCUUUGGUCUGUAACUGACGCUGAGGCGCGAAAGCGUGGGGAGCAAACAGG
rnacentral:rRNA from 1 species